AAGGGGGAAACCCAAAUUUGUAAUCUGGCUCUUUUUAUAAGGGUCCGAGUUGUAAUUUUGAGAACUGUUUUCCGUGCUGGACCAUGUACAAGUCUGUUGAAAAACAGCAUCAUUGAGGGUGAUAAUCCCGUAUAUGAUAUGGACUACCAGGGCAAUGUGAUACAGUCUCUAAGAGUCGAGUUGUUUGGGAAUGCAGCUCAAAGUGGGUGGUAAAUUCCAUCUAAGGCUAAAUAUAGGUGAGAGACCGAUAGCAAACAAGUACCGUGAGGGAAAGAUGAAAAGAACUUUGGAAAGAGAGUUAACAGUACGUGAAAUUGUUAAAAGGGAAACAUUUGAAGUUAGACUUGUUAUUGUUGGUUCAGCUCUUUUUAAGGGUGUAUUCCAAUGGUUAACAGACCAGCAUCAAUUUUUGGGUGUUAGAUAAGGGUCUUGAGAAUGUAGCAACCUCGGUUGUGUUAUAGAUCUUGACUUGAUAUAAUGCUUAGGAUUGAGGAACGCAGUGAGCUUCUUUUGAAGUGGAUGUUUUUAAUGUCUCAUCACUACGUGGUU
rnacentral:rRNA from 1 species